CGGGAAUUUUGGGCAAUGGGCGAAAGCCUGACCCAGCAACGCCGUGUGAGGGAUGAAGUAUUUCGGUAUGUAAACCUCGAAAGAAUGGGAAGAAUAAAUGACGGUACCAUUUAUAAGCUCCGGCUAACUACGUGCCAGCAGCCGCGGUAAUACGUAGGGAGCAAGCGUUGUUCGGAUUUACUGGGCGUAAAGGGCGCGUAGGCGGCGCGGUAAGUCACUUGUGAAAUCUCUGAGCUUAACUCAGAACGGCCAAGUGAUACUGCUGUGCUAGAGUGCGGAAGAGGCAACCGGAAUUCUUGGUGUAGCGGUGAAAUGCGUAGAUAUCAAGAGGAACACCUGAGGCGAAGGCGGGUUGCUGGGCCGACACUGACGCUGAUGCGCGAAAGCCAGGGGAGCAAACG
rnacentral:rRNA from 1 species